GAUAAGAAAGUUUAGAAAUACGGAGAGCAAUUCCUUUUCAGAAUUAAUCAUUUUGAUUACAUUUCCAAAAAAAAGUGAAAGGGCCAAAGCACAGAGAGAUGGCCUUUAUUGCAAUACACAUUUACAUACAUAGAUCAAUACAUACACAUAUAUGUGUAUGUAUAGCUCUAAUUAUUCCGUUUAUCACAUUGGGGUAGUGGAAACUUAAACCAAGCAAAAGUGACCCUUGGGAAGCUUGCACUUUUGUUUUUAUGGAAUAGCAGUGAAGUUGAAAUUAUUGCAAGAAGUCUUGUAGAACAACAGGGAAGAACUGAAACCAAGCCUUGAUCUUGCCAUAUCAAACUGUACCAGAUUAUUCUCCAUUUGGUAAGCCCCAAUAAUAAUCGAAGCUCCAUUGUUCUUCAUUCCUCCAUCCACAAAAGCUAAGCAAGACACUCCUGGUGCAGCUUCAACAAGGGAGUUUGCUCCAUAAAUCCUCCACAUAACAUGCUUGUCAUGGAGCACAAGGUCGAUGUUAGGAACCCCUGGUCCAACCCUGCUGUUUUUGAAUCUUUUCGAGUUGAAACAGGCACCGAAUGGCGCAACUGGUUUUACUUGGGGAAUAGCAGAGAGCUCCUUGGAGAAAAUUUGUGUGACAGCUUUAAAGAUUGAGUGGUGUAGAAUGGUGUAAGGGUUGAUUGUGCUGAGCUUCGUGCCUCCGACGCCUUGUUUAUUGAUCGAUAACAGCGCUGUGUCUAUCGGGACAUCCUUGUCGUUUAUCUUGAUUGAUUUAACUUCCAUGUAGUACUCUCCUAGGGGACUGAUGAUAAGUGGAGUGUAGCUUAAUGGUCGUGUUAUAUCAACAUUAGGCAGCAUAUAAUAAGGGCUGUCCCCAAAGAACAUGACACCUUUAGGGGCUAAACAAAGGGCAAACGUUGGGGCAAAACCAGCAGACCCAAAGUGUGAGGCCAGUUGAGUUGGUAGAGAAAUGGGGGAAUGUCCCAAUCCAGCCACCCCUUGAACAGUACUUGGUAACCCUCUUUGCAGUAAAAGGGAAGGUGCACAAGUGAACAAGAACUGAGGGACCCUAACCAUUGGACCAGGGUUAGACCCUUGAGUGGAUUGAAUUGAUAGCACAUCUUGUGCAAGAUCACUCAUGGCGGUAAGGCCUGUCACAGGGUUCAUUGACAUGACCCCACAUGUGUUGUUAUGGCACCCUGGUCCAUCCCUGGUGGAGCAUAUGUGGCAAUAGUGACUGUCAGCUCUAGAGCAUUGAGUCGAGCGGCACCUAGGGGCAUGGUAGGUGGACGAACAGUAACUUUUCUCACAAGUAACCCAUAGUAACCUUCCAUUCAAGUCCACAACAAAUGGGACUUUCUGUGAAGGAGUUCUCUUGUAUAUGUUAGUCACAUAAAGUUUAGUUUUCGGAUCUUUUUGCAGCUGCAAAACGAACCUGUUCGGUUUCGAAGUCUUUUGAGAUUCAGAUAAAAGGAUGAAAGAAGAAACGGAAAGGAAAAUGAGAAGGAAAAGAAGGAAAGAAGAAGCCAUGAAAGCUCAAUGCCUGCACAGUGAUGCAAGAAGAGGGUAAGCGGUGAGGAAAUAAAGGGGGAAAAUGGAGUUACUUAUAGGCAAAUUGAGUUCUUAAAAUCUAGUCAUAUUUUUGGGUGAUCCAAGCAUUGUUCAUGUGAAAGUUUUAGGCAUUAUAUGCAUUUGGCAAGCAGAAGAUGAAAGUUAGGCAGGCUAAAGUUAGGAAAAUUCAGGCUAAAAGAUGGACCCCAAAGCAAAGGAACAAAAUUGAAUUGGAAAGUGUGGAAGGCACUUGGCAAUGGCUUAGAGCUUCUACAGCCGUGCCAUCAACACAUACAAGGACUUCAUGGGUUUGGCUUGGCUUGGACUGAACUGGAAUUUGAUAAAUUUCAUCUUUAAUUUCUCAAGCAUGUUAAUUUCUAACAUAUGGACAAAUAUGACCUUAUGGUAGAUAGAAGUUUGUACGUAAGGGAACCCUACUGGGAUUUCUGGGAUUUCUCAAUCAAGUCAUGUGAAACAUUAUUACAAUAGCAUUUAUUGACUUGUACUAGCUGCAAACUUGUCCAUCAUUCUAAAAAGCUAAGAGUUUUAGAUAAUCAUAAAGAACCCCAGAACGGACUCAGCGUAACAAUGCCAAUGGAAAUACAUAACCUUACUAGUAACAAGAACACACCGAAAUUCACCCCUAGCGCAUCAUCAUCAAAAUCAAUAUCAUGACUAGAUCUACUGUAUCUUCCAUCAGCUUGUGUAUACGCAUAUAUCAAGCACAAGUCACUGAAAUUCGUCAAAGUUCUAUUCCUGUAUACCUGUGCAUCCGGUUGACCCUGCAAAUCCAUUAUAAUAAAAUAAGAGCAUAUAAAAAUGCAAAAACCUCGACAUAAACAAGAACAUCAUCCCCACCUUGAUAUAUGCAUUCCAUACAUGUGGAGGGGCAACUACCAAUUUCCUUGUAUCAUCCCAACUAAACCCGUUUUGUUCGAGAAGAUUCUUCACAUCAUUAUACUGCUUCCACAAAUUGGUAGAAUGACUUUUCAAAGUGUCCCUAUCGUAUUUACACCCAAAUUUCGCAUUGAAAAUAGAUAACAUAUCGGUCCAAGCUUGUUUAUUAAAUGUAUGGCCUAAUCUAUUACCCCUAUGCAUUUGAUCUAACAUAAGAUCAAUGAAAAACCGUUCCAUUGUCGGCGUCCAAUUUGUUCUUGUUCAAUCACUGCUACUAGGUGCAUUGCUCCCCAUUCUCCCCCCUACUAAUACAAAAAAGCUUCAUUAAUUUCUUAAUUUAGAAUUACAGUACCUUAAAAAGUUGAAAUUUAAGCGACAACUUACAAGCCCAUAAAAUUCAAAGCUAAUAUAAGCUCAAAUGAAAUAAAAAUUGAAAAGAUAAAAAAAAGCUAGUAAAUUUUUUGUUCAAAAAGAUAUCUGCAAAAAGGGCAUUAAUAAUUGUUUAGUUUAAGGUUUCUACUACCUAAGAGCUUCAAGCAGACAUAUUCUAUCUAAAUUAAGUUGAGAUAACUUUAAAUUAGCUCUAACAUCUAAAAUUGAAAACUUUAUAACUUUUUUUUUUGUCUUUUCCAGCAUUAUCCCACUAGUGAUACGAAAAAAUAAGCGAAACUAUUAGUAAAAAAUAAGCAAAAAAAAAAAUUGAACCUUGGUACCUUUGGGUUUUUUGUCAGAGAUUUCGCGUACGAAAAUUUUAUUUCAAUUUCCGGGAAAUUUGAUCAGGAGUGUGUUUUGCGGGUGCUUUAGAUUCCAACCAAAAAGAUCAUGAAAGAAUGGGUGCUUUUGAUUGGAAGCUUGAAGGAGAAACUACAGCCUGUUUGGUUGCUGAGAAAAUGGGUAGUUAACAGGCAAGAAAGUUCUCAGAAGUGGGCUCAAAAAGCACUUCAAUUGGACCCUUUCAGCCCAAAAACCUGAAGAUUGGACCCAAGGAUCCAACACUUUAUUUAUAAAGAAACUAUUUAAUCAGAUGUGUUUCGACAUAUUUAAAUUCACAUGCCAAUCGAAUUAAGACUCAAUCACAAUAGUUUAGAAACUUAAGAUUUUGAAUAUCCAUAUGUUUGUAUAUUUUAUUAUGUUAUAAAUGUGUUAAAAUAUUUUGACUUAUACAAUUUUUGAUAAUUUAAUAAUUUCUAUUAUAUAAUUUUUAGAUUAUUUGUAAUUUCAGAUCUUAUGUUGUGUGAUUUUUAUAUGAUAAGAAAGUUUAGAAAUACGGAGAGCAAUUCCUUUUCAGAAUUAAUCAUUUUGAUUACAUUUCCAAAAAAAAGUGAAAGGGCCAAAACACAUAGAGAUGGCCUUUAUUACAAUACACAUUUACAUACAUAGAUCAAUACAUACACAUAUAUGUGUAUGUAUAGCUCUAAUUAUUCCGUUUAUCACAUUGGGGUAGUGGAAACUUAAACCAAGCAAAAGUGACCCUUACUGGGAAGCUUGCACUUUUGUU
rnacentral:lncRNA from 1 species